rnacentral:rRNA from 1 species
AGUGAACGCUGGCGGUAGGCCUAACACAUGCAAGUCGAACGGCAGCACAGUAAGAGCUUGCUCUUACGGGUGGCGAGUGGCGGACGGGUGAGGAAUACAUCGGAACCUACUUUUUCGUGGGGGAUAACGUAGGGGAACUUACGCUAAUACCGCAUACGACCUACGGGUGAAAGCAGGGGAUCUUCGGACCUUGCGCGAUUGAAUGAGCCGAUGUCGGAUUAGCUAGUUGGCGGGGUAAAGGCCCACCAAGGCGACGAUCCGUAGCUGGUCUGAGAGGAUGAUCAGCCACACUGGAACGGAGACACGGUCCAGACUCCUACGGGAGGCAGCAGUGGGGAAUAUUGGACAAUGGGCGCAAGCCUGAUCCAGCCAUACCGCGUGGGUGAAGAAGGCCUUCGGGUUGUAAAGCCCUUUUGUUGGGAAAGAAAAGCAGCAGGUUAAUACCCCGCUGUUCUGGCGGUACCCAAAGAAUAAGCACCGGCUAACUUCGUG